rnacentral:rRNA from 1 species
GACGAACGCUGGCGGCGUGCUUAACACAUGCCAGUCGAACGGAAAGGCCCUGCUUUUGUGGGGUGCUCGAGUGGCGAACGGGUGAGUAACACGUGAGUAACCUGCUCUUGACUUUGGGAUAACUUCAGGAAACUGGGGCUAAUACCGUAUAGGAGCCCCUGCUGCAUGGUGGGGGUUGGAAAGUUUCGGCUGUUGGGGAUGGACUCGCGGCUAAUCGGCUUGUUGGUGGGGUAGUGGCUUACCAAGGCUUUGACGGGUAGCCGGCCUGGGAGGGUGACCGGGGACAAUGGGACUGAGAUACGGCCCAGUCUCCUACGGGAGGCAGUAGUGGGGAAUAUUGCACAGUGGGCGGAAGCCUGAUGCGGCGACACCGCGGGCGGGAUGACGGCCUUCGGGUUGUGAACCGCUUUCGCCUGUGACGAAGCGUGAGUGACGGUAAUGGGUAAAGAAGCACCGGCUAACUACGUG